UUAUACCGUGAAACUGCGAAUGGCUCAUUAAAUCAGUUAUCGUUUAUUUGAUAGUACCUUUUACUACAUGGAUAUCCGUGGUAAUUCUAGAGCUAAUACAUGCUAAAAACCCCGACUUUUGGAGGGGUGUAUUUAUUAGAUAAAAAACCAAUGCCCCUCGGGGCUCCUUGGUGAUUCAUGAUAACUCAACGGAUCGCAUGGCCUUGCGCCGGCGACGGUUCAUUCAAAUUUCUGCCCUAUCAACUUUCGAUGGUAAGGUAUUGGCUUACCAUGGUUUCAACGGGUAACGGGGAAUUAGGGUUCGAUUCCGGAGAGGGAGCCUGAGAAACGGCUACCACAUCCAAGGAAGGCAGCAGGCGCGCAAAUUACCCAAUCCCGACACGGGGAGGUAGUGACAAUAAAUACUGAUACAGGGCUCUUUUGGGUCUUGUAAUCGGAAUGAGUACAAUUUAAACCCCUUAACGAGGAACAAUUGGAGGGCAAGUCUGGUGCCAGCAGCCGCGGUAAUUCCAGCUCCAAUAGCGUAUAUUAAAGUUGUUGCAGUUAAAAAGCUCGUAGUUGAACCUUGGGCCUGGCUGGCCGGUCCGCCUCACCGCGUGUACUGGUCCGGCCGGGCCUUUCCUUCUGGAGAGCCGCAUGCCCUUCACUGGGUGUGUCGGGGAACCAGGACUUUUACUUUGAAAAAAUUAGAGUGUUCAAAGCAGGCCUUUGCUCGAAUACGUUAGCAUGGAAUAAUAGAAUAGGACGUGCGGUCCUAUUUUGUUGGUUUCUAGGACCGCCGUAAUGAUUAAUAGGGAUAGUCGGGGGCAUCAGUAUUCAAUUGUCAGAGGUGAAAUUCUUGGAUUUAUUGAAGACUAACUACUGCGAAAGCAUUUGCCAAGGAUGUUUUCAUUAAUCAGUGAACGAAAGUUAGGGGAUCGAAGACGAUCAGAUACCGUCGUAGUCUUAACCGUAAACUAUGCCGACUAGGGAUCGGGCGAUGUUUCUAUCUUGACUCGCUCGGCACCUUACGAGAAAUCAAAG
rnacentral:rRNA from 1 species